UACGAAGGGGGCUAGCGUUGCUCGGAAUCACUGGGCGUAAAGGGCGCGUAGGCGGAUCUUUAAGUCGGGGGUGAAAGCCUGAGGCUCAACCUCAGAAUUGCCUUCGAUACUGGAGAUCUUGAGACCGGAAGAGGUAAGUGGAACUGCGAGUGUAGAGGUGAAAUUCGUAGAUAUUCGCAAGAACACCAGUGGCGAAGGCGGACUUACUGGUCCGGUUCUGACGCUGAGGCGCGAAAGCGUGGGGAGCAAACAGG
rnacentral:rRNA from 1 species